CCAGGGUGGGUAUAGCCACCGGGGUUACUAACGGGUAGGUUUAGAGCCCGGGUGUGUAUAGCCAUAGGAGUUACUAACUGGUAGGUUUAGGGCCAGGGUUGGUAUAGCCGCUGGGGUUACUAACGGGUAGGUUUAGAUUCAGGGUGGGUAUAGCCAUAGGAAUUACUAACGGGUAGGUUUAGGGCCAGGGUUGGUAUAGCCGCUGGGGUUACUAACGGGUAGGUUUAGAUUCAGGGUGGGUAUAGCCAUAGGAAUUACUAACGGGUAGGUUUAGGGUUAGGGUUGGUAUAGCCGCUGGGGUUACUAACGGGUAGGUUUAGUGCCAGGGUGGGUAUAGCCACAGGGGUUACUCACGGUUAGGUUUCGAGUUGUGGUGUGUUUUGCCAUAGGAGAAGUAUGCAAGUCUGAAAAGAGUCAAAAGGGUAGCAAAAGAGUAGAAAGAUAGAAGAAAAUAGAUUCUCAAAUUAUGUCUCAUUCAGUCCCCUCGGGUGCAGGGUAUCCAG
ensembl:lncRNA